UACAAUGACUCUCGGCAACGGAUAUCUCGGCUCUCGCAUCGAUGAAGAACGUAGCGAAAUGCGAUACUUGGUGUGAAUUGCAGAAUCCCGUGAACCAUCGAGUCUUUGAACGCAAGUUGCGCCCGAAGCCGUUAGGCCGAGGGCACGCCUGCCUGGGUGUCACA
rnacentral:rRNA from 1 species